GUGCUCUGCCUUUUCAGGUCUCACAGGAAAGAAGGCCCAAACAUUUAUCAGUGCGAGCAGACAUAAUUCUCCUGCCUGCAGCAUGUUUUGCAGAGGCAAAAUUUGAUGAACCAAACACCUGCGCAAACUAGAACAGAAAUUGCAACAGCACACAGUUACAUGAUAUAUACCUGGUAUUACACUGCAGGCACUGAUUGAUUACUUUUGGCUGGUGUUUGGACAUAGAGCAACUGCAAAAGCAAAGCAACAUUUACAUCAUCCUGGCUUUUGUUCUGAGGAGGGUACCCCACAUGCUUUAACCCUGCUGAUGCAAGCCAAAAAACACUGUGCAAGCCUACAAGAAGACACAGAAACAGCCUGGAAAAAAUAGCAUAGAGACUGCAGGUAUCAAAAUGUCUAUGCACGUACCUGGGGGCUGGUUUUGUAUUUCUGUAAAGCAAACUUUAUUUUACAGUAUUCUGCAGCAGAAAAAGACCAGUUAGGAACUUUAGCACUUGAGGAAAUGAUCACUUGUUUCCUAUGUAUUUUCUCUUUUUUUCCCUUCAAUGCAUCAUAAACUUGUUUUGGAAAAGUUUUUUAUCUGGAAAAUUAUUACGGAAACAGCACGAAACGAGGAAUAAUUAUAGUAAUGCAUUACAAAAUAAGGUACUGUUGGAACCAGAAAAGCAGCAAAGCAACCUACUUGUGGCUUAUUUCCUGUGUGAGAGAGAGCUCAAGGUAUG